UACAGAGGGGGCAAGCGUUGUUCGGAAUUACUGGGCGUAAAGGGCGCGUAGGCGGCCUGUUAAGUCGGACGUGAAAUCCCCAGGCUCAACCUGGGAACUGCGUCCGAUACUGGCAGGCUUGAAUCCGGGAGAGGGAUGUGGAAUUCCAGGUGUAGCGGUGAAAUGCGUAGAUAUCUGGAGGAACACCGGUGGCGAAGGCGGCAUCCUGGACCGGUAUUGACGCUGAGGCGCGAAAGCUAGGGGAGCAAACGGG
rnacentral:rRNA from 1 species